UGAAUCCUGAAGUGUGCGUCAAGGUCAUGUAAUUAAACCUACGUAAUGACAUUGGGAGCUUGAACGCCGCGCCGAUGCCAGGCCUCCUCAGAGUGGAAGGCAGAAGCAGGACUAGAAAGCACCCCCCUAUUUUAGAUAGGGUGUUAAUUAUAACCUGGACGGCAUGUCGGGAUUUUU
rnacentral:other from 1 species